GUUAAGUCAUUGUAUAAUACUGCAUUUCUAAAACUGACUACAUUGCUUGAUUGCUAGCACACUCAGCUCACACACUGAGGUUGAGGGAUCAAUCCCCAAUAUGGAUGGAAACAUUAGGGCGUGUUUCCUUAAGGUACCUACUGUUCACGUUCACCAGUCAGUAAAAUAGUGGUGGAUCCAUCUGUCACACUCUUCAUGGGAAUUGAUAAAUAUGAAAAUGAAGAUCUUAUUAAAUGGGGCUGGCCAGAAGAUGUUUGGUUUCAUGUUGACAAAGUCUCAUCUGCUCAUGUUUACCUGCG